UCGGGAAUUUUGGACAAUGGGGGCAACCCUGAUCCAGCAAUGCCGCGUGAGUGAAGAAGGCCUUCGGGUUGUAAAGCUCUUUUACCCGGGAAGAUAAUGACUGUACCGGGAGAAUAAGCCACGGCUAACUCCGUGCCAGCAGCCGCGGUAAUA
rnacentral:rRNA from 1 species